AUUAAGAUGUGGCGGAACACCAGUGGGGAAGACUACUUUGUGGUCUGUAACUGACGCUGAGGAGCGAAAGCGUGGGGAGCGAACAGGAUUAGAUACCCUGGUAGUCCACGCCGUAAACGAUGAGUGCUAAGUGUUAGGGGGUUUCCGCCCCUUAUGCUGCAGCUAACGCAUUAAGCACUCCGCCUGGGGAGUACGGUCGCAAGACUGAAACUCAAAGGAAUUGACGGGGGCCCGCACAAGCGGUGGAGCAUGUGGUUUAAUUCGAAGCAACGCGAAGAACCUACCAGGUCUUGACAUCCUCUGACAACCCUAGAGAUAGGGCUUUCCCUUCGGGGACAGAGUGACAGGUGGUGCAUGGUUGUCGUCAGCUCGUGUCGUGAGAUGUUGGGUUAAGUCCCGCAACGAGCGAACCCUUGAUCUUAGUUGCCAGCAUUCAGUUGGGCACUCUAAGGUGACUGCCGGUGACAAACCGGAGGAAGGUGGGGAUGACGUCAAAUCAUCAUGCCCCUUAUGACCUGGGCUACACACGUGCUACAUGGACAGAACAAAGGGCUGCAAGACCGCAAGGUUUAGCCAAUCCCAUAAAUCUGUUCUCAGUUCGGAUCGCAGUCUGCAACUCGACUGCGUGAAGCUGGAAUCGCUAGUAAUCGCGGAUCAACAUG
rnacentral:rRNA from 1 species